CCUACUUAACUCAGUGGUUAGAGUUUUGCUUUCAUACGGCAAGAGUCAUUGGUUCAAAUCCAAUAGUAGGUA
rnacentral:tRNA from 1 species